UACAGAGGGGGCUAGCGUUGUUCGGAAUUACUGGGCGUAAAGGGCGCGUAGGUGGCCUGUUAAGUCGAACGUGAAAUCCCCGGGCUCAACCCGGGAACUGCGUCCGAGACUGGCAGGCUCGAAUCCGGGAGAGGGAUGUGGAAUUCCAGGUGUAGCGGUGAAAUGCGUAGAUAUUCGGAAGAACACCAGUGGCGAAGGCGACUCACUGGACAUGUAUUGACGCUGAGGUACGAAAGCGUGGGGAGCAAACAGG
rnacentral:rRNA from 1 species